rnacentral:rRNA from 1 species
GAUGAACGCUGGCGGCGUGCCUAAUACAUGCAAGUCGAGCGAACAGACGAGGAGCUUGCUCCUCUGACGUUAGCGGCGGACGGGUGAGUAACACGUGGAUAACCUACCUAUAAGACUGGGAUAACUUCGGGAAACCGGAGCUAAUACCGGAUAAUAUAUUGAACCGCAUGGUUCAAUAGUGAAAGACGGUUUUGCUGUCACUUAUAGGUGGAUCCGCGCCGCAUUAGCUAGUUGGUAAGGUAACGGCUUACCACGGCAACGAUGCGUAGCCGACCUGAGAGGGUGAUAGGCGCCCCGGGAACUGAGACACGGUCCAGGCUCCUACGGGAGGGAGCAGUAGGGAAUCGUCCGCAAUGGGCGAAAGCCUGACGGAGCAACGCCGCGUGAGUGAUGAAGGUCUUCGGAUCGUAAAAAUCUGUUAUUAGGGAAGAACAAAUGUGUAAGUAAAUAUGCACGUCUUGACGGUACCUAAUCAGAAAGCCACGGCUAACUACGUG